rnacentral:rRNA from 1 species
CCUACGGGAGGCAGCAGUGAGGAAUAUUGGUCAAUGGCCGUAAGGCUGAACCAGCCAAGUAGCGUGAGGGAAGACUGCCCUAUGGGGUGUAAACCUCUUUUGUCGGGGAGCAAAAGCCGGACGUGGCCGGCUGUGAGAGUACCCGAAGAAAAAGCAGCGGCGAACUCCGUGCCAGCAGCCGCGGUAAUACGUAGGUGGCAAGUGUUAUCCGGAUUUACUGGGGGUAAAGGGCGUGUAGGCGGGAAAGCAAGUCAGAUGUGAAAACCAUGGGCUCAACCUGUGGCCUGCAUUUGAAACUGUUUUUCUUGUGUACUGGAGCGGCAGCCGGACUUCCUAGUGUAGCGGU